rnacentral:rRNA from 1 species
UACGUAGGGGCCGAGCGUUGUCCGGAGUUAUUGGGCGUAAAGCGCGCGCAGGCGGCUUGGCGCGCCCGACGUGAAAGCCCCCGGCUUAACCGGGGAGAGUCGUCGGGGACGGCCGGGCUUGAGGGCGGGAGAGGGUGGUGGAAUUCCCGGUGUAGUGGUGAAAUGCGUAGAGAUCGGGAGGAACACCUGUGGCGAAGGCGGCCGACUGGGCCGACCCUGACGCUGAGGCGCGAAGGCGUGGGGAGCGAACGGG